UACAGAGGUCCCAAGCGUUGUUCGGAUUCACUGGGCGUAAAGGGUGCGUAGGCGGUCGGGUAAGUCUGAUGUGAAAUCUCACAGCUUAACUGUGAAACUGCAUUGGAUACUAUCCGGCUCGAGGAAUGGAGGGGAGACUGGAAUACUUGGUGUAGCAGUGAAAUGCGUAGAUAUCAAGUGGAACACCAGUGGCGAAGGCGAGUCUCUGGACAUUUCCUGACGCUGAGGCACGAAAGCCAGGGGAGCAAACGAG
rnacentral:rRNA from 1 species